GCCUAAUACAUGCAAGUCGAGCGAGGUUCUUCGGAACCUAGCGGCGGACGGGUGAGUAACACGUGGGUAACCUGCCUGUAAGACCGGGAUAACUUCGGGAAACCGAAGCUAAUACCGGAUACUUUCGAGCAUCGCAUGAUGCUUGAUGGAAAGAUGGUUUCGGCUGUCACUUACAGAUGGACCCGCGUCGCAUUAGCUAGUUGGUGAGGUAACGGCUCACCAAGGCGACGAUGCGUAGCCGACCUGAGAGGGUGAUCGGCCACACUGGGACUGAGACACGGCCCAGACUCCUACGGGAGGCAGCAGUAGGGAAUCUUCGGCAAUGGGCGAAAGCCUGACCGAGCAACGCCGCGUGAGCGAUGAAGGCCUUCGGGUCGUAAAGCUCUGUUGUUAAGGAAGAACAAGUACGAGAGUAACUGCUCGUACCUUGACGGUACUUAACGAGAAAGCCACGGCUAACUACGUGCCAGCAGCCGCGGUAAUACGUAGGUGGCGAGCGUUAUCCGGAAUUAUUGGGCGUAAAGCGCGCGCAGGCGGUUUCUUAAGUCUGAUGUGAAAGCCCACGGCUCAACCGUGGAGGGUCAUUGGAAACUGGGAAACUUGAGUGCAGAAGAGGAAAGCGGAAUUCCACGUGUAGCGGUGAAAUGCGUAGAGAUGUGGAGGAACACCAGUGGCGAAGGCGGCUUUCUGGUCUGUAAAC
rnacentral:rRNA from 1 species